UGGGGAAUAUUGCGCAAUGGCCGAAAGGCUGACGCAGCGACGCCGUGUGUGGGAGGAAGCCCUUCGGGGUGUAAACCACUGUCAGGGGGGAAGAAACUCGGCUGGUCAAACAGCCCAGUCGAUUGACGGUACCUCCAAAGGAAGCGCCGGCUAACUCCGUGCCAGCAGCCGCGGUAAGACGGAGGGCGCAAGCGGUGUUCGGAAUUACUGGGCGUAAAGCGCGGGCAGGUGGUCUGUUAAGUCUGCGGUGAAAUUCCGGAGCUCAACUCCGGAUAUGCCGCGGAUACUGGCGGACUAGAGACCGGUAGAGGCAAGUGGAAUUCCAGGUGUAGCGGUGGAAUGCGUAGAUAUCUGGAAGAACACCGGUGGCGAAGGCGGCUUGCUGGGCCGGUUCUGACACUCAGCCGCGAAAGCGUGGGGAGCAAACAGG
rnacentral:rRNA from 1 species